rnacentral:lncRNA from 1 species
AAGCUUCAUACAUGUUGACAAAGAAGACACUGAAAAAACCUGGUACCAUGGUACCAGCAUGCUCAAGCCUAUUGCCUCCAGCAGUCCCACUUCUUCUCUGUGAAGGGCUGUGAGAAUCACCAAUACCUGCCCUUGCUCCAGCCACCUUGGAUAUCCCCACAAGCUCUGACUUCAUCUGGGGUCAUAAGGAGUGGAAAGGCUGAGCUGGCUAGGAAGGAAGAUAAGUUGGGAAAGGCAACAGGAGCCCAUUGACCAGCUGUCUGAGGACUCAGCAGGCUAGUCCUUCAAAGUUUUUCCAUGAAGCCAGCAGC